rnacentral:rRNA from 1 species
AACGCGAAGAACCUUACCAAGGCUUGACAUGGACCGGAUCGCCGCAGAAAUGUGGUUCCUCCUUUUGGGGCCGGUUCACAGGUGGUGCAUGGUUGUCGUCAGCUCGUGUCGUGAGAUGUUGGGUUAAGUCCCGCAACGAGGGCAACCCUCGUUCCAUGUUGCCAGCACGUAGUGGUGGGGACUCAUGGGAGACUGCCGGGGUCAACUCGGAGGAAGGUGGGGACGACGUCAAAUCAUCAUGCCCCUUAUGUCUUGGGCUUCACGCAUGCUUCAAUGGCCGGUACAAAGGGUUGCGAUACUGUGAGGUGGAGCUAAUCCCAAAAAGCCGGUCUCAGUUCGGAUUGGGGUCUGCAACUCGACCCCAUGAAGUCGGAGUCGCUAGUAAUCGCAGAUCAGCAACGCUGCGGUGAAUACGUUCCCGGGCCUUGUACACACCG